rnacentral:rRNA from 1 species
AAAGAACUACCAAGGAUUCCCCUAGUAACUGCGAGUGAAGCGGGAAAAGCUCAAAUUUAAAAUCUGGCAGUCUUUUGGCUGUCCGAGUUGUAAUUUAGAGAAGCGUCUUCCGCGCCGGACCGUGCACAAGUCUCCUGGAAUGGAGCGUCAUAGAGGGUGAGAAUCCCGUCUUUGGCAUGGACACCCGGGGCUUCUGUGAUGCGCUCUCGAAGAGUCGAGUUGUUUGGGAAUGCAGCUCAAAAUGGGUGGUGAACUCCAUCUAAAGCUAAAUAUUGGCGAGAGACCGAUAGCGAACAAGUACCGUGAGGGAAAGAUGAAAAGCACUUUGGAAAGAGAGUGAAACAGUACGUGAAAUUGUUGAAAGGGAAACGCUUGAAGUCAGUCGCGUUGAUUGAGACUCAGCCUUGCCUUGGCUUGGCAUACUUCUCAGCUGACGGGCCAGCAUCAAUUUUGUCUCUCGGAUAAUGACAAGGGAAAUGUGGCACCUUCACCGGUGUGUUAUAGUCUCCUGUCGCAUGCGAGGGGUGGGAUUGAGGAACUCAGCACGCACCUCUUGGUGUCGGGGCUUCUGCCCACGCUACGUGCUUAGGAUGUUGGCGUAAUGGCUUUAAACGACCCGUCUUGAAACACGGACCAAGGAGUCUAACAUGCCCGCGAGUGUUCGGGUGGAAAACCCGUGCGCGUAAUGAAAGUGAAAGUUGGGACCUCUAUCGUGGAGGGCACCGACGCCCGGACCAGACCUUCUGUGACGGAUCUGCGGUAGAGCGUGCAUGUUGGGACCCGAAAGAUGGUGAACUAUGCCUGAAUAGGGUGAAGCCAGAGGAAACUCUGGUGGAGGCUCGUAGCGAUUCUGACGUGCAAAUCGAUCGUCAAAUUUGGGUAUAGGGGCGAAA